UGCCUUCUUUCAUGAGGAGGAGGAGUUGAUACCUUCUGCUGCCUCCUCUGACCCAUAAUGUGGUCACAUCCCAGGAGGACAAGCCCUUUGCCUCACUAUUCCUGCAGACCUGAAGACCCUGGGUAGCCUUGGAUGUAGUUGUCUAAGGACUUCUGUUAAACACUUUUCCUGCCAAGGACCUUAAAGCACUGUGUGCUACCCAGGAUUUUUCACUCCCAGUGUCUGUUGCCCUCUGUGAGCCCUCAAAUACCAGCCAGAAGUCUGGGAAGUGAAGGAAAGAACUAGUCAGAGCACAAAUUUCGUGGAGAAGUGCAGUGCUUUGUUUUGAAAGAGUAAAAAAAAGUGAGCAUAACAAAGAACUGUUCCCAAACCUGAACCUGCCUCCUGAGCAGCAGUUAAGCACUUUGGCUGAUGAGCAGAUGAGCAAAGCAGUAGGAGAGCAGUUAACAUGGCAUCAACCCUGAGCAUCAUGGGAACCACAUGACCUUCAGCUAGAGAAGCCAGAAGAGAGCAAAGAGGGUGCUUGAGUCAGCAAUGGGAGUGAAACCAACAGCUCUGAGCUGGGCUGCCUACAUGUUAUCUUUUUUCAG